rnacentral:rRNA from 1 species
GACGAACGCUGGCGGCGUGCCUAAUACAUGCAAGUAGAACGCAGUUGCGAACGGGUGCGUAACGCGUAGGUAACUGCCUCAUAGCGGGGGAUAACUAUUGGAAAAGAUAGCUAAUACCGCAUAAUGUGAGAUGGACCUGCGUGGUAUUAGCUAGUUGGUGAGGUAAAGGCGCCCCAAGGCGACGAUCCCUAGCCGACCUGGGAGGGUGAUCGGCCACACUGUGACUGAGCAACGGCCCAGACUCCUCCGGGAGGCAGCAGUAGGGAUUCUUCGGCAAUGGACGGAAGUCUGACCGAGCAACGCCGCGUGAGUGAAGAAGGUUUUCGGAUCGUAAAGCUCUGUUGUUGGAGAAGCGGUAACUAUCCAGAAAGGGACGGCUAACUACGUGCCAGCAGCCGCGGUAAUUC